AGUUCUUCACUCGAGUCUUUGUCAGUUCAUGUACGUGGUAACGUUCAGAACAGCCUGUGCUCCAGCUCUGUGCUGUUUUCUAGUUAAACUUUUGAUCGUCUAGGCAAUCCUUGCUUUCGUGUGCCUCGGGUCCACUAUUCAUCCUCAAUCCUCGUCAGCCUCCUUCCACCAGCAUCUAGCCAGCCUGCCCCGCAACUGUCUCCCAACAAAAUCAAACCUUGACUGUCAACUUUUUCAAAGUUCUGCUUUUUGGGUAUACUGCUUGGAAGCACAACAGAAGAGAGCGAUCAGAGUAUUGCCUCUUGAGAUACGAAGUGGUAUUCAAAAGAAGAUGGGCUGGGGCUAGCUGGUUAGCAUGCUCUUUGACACAACAUCCAAAUGUAUUUUUUCUUGCGUUCAAUAAUCGUGCUUGGCCUGCAGUGCAGACUUAUUUUAAGAUUCCUCACAGCAGCUGUGGCUCUCCUCGUCACUUCCAUCCAGACAGUCAUCGUCUCCAUCGCACUUCCACAGGGCCCGUAUGCAGCGCUGGUUGUGGCACUGGAACUCAUCACUCUUACAUCGCUGUGGCUCUGGACUGCUGCUGGAGGAUUCUGAGAGAAACAGUGGUUAGAAAUCAACAAGAGACUCGCCAUGAAGCAUGUGCUGAGGGGAGAUUAUUGGCAUAGCUAUAAUAGCACAAAAAACAUGUUAAUAAUGUCUCAUGACCCCGUGUGUAACUACUGGGAUUUGGCUUACAUUUCUAGAAACCCAGCGGGAUAAUCUCCCGCUUGUAUUUAUUUGUUUAUGAGCAGAUUUGCAUGUGCAUAGAUAAGGUGUUUUUAUUUGAUCUAUGUCCCACAGGAUGAAGCCAGGAUUACAGUAUACUUGGACAGGACUGAUCUUAGCCCUCUCUCGCUCCGUCUGAUUCAUUAUGUCCUCCUACCUGCACAGGUGACAUUGUUCUUCCCCAGAACCUGGUUGUCAGCGCAGGCACACACUCUGCCUCCUGGGAUGGCAAGGCAGAGGGUACCACAGCCCCCAUAAUUCACACUGCAUGCGUUGUCACCUGGAGAAACAGAUACCAAAAUAAGGUGUCUUGCUCAUUUAAACACACAUUUUCUAAAGCCCCCCUUAAGCGACAUGAGUUUCCUGUUACUGUUUUGUCUCUUUUUCCCUUUUUGUGAAGUGAACAGCAGAGGUUCAGAGGGGUCACUUUAAAACCCGGCAUAACAAAUCACGUCAUUGUUCCAAAACUCGUCUCCUCUUUCGGAGAGACAUGCCAGGUGUAUGCAAUGAGAUCUAUAACCACAUGUCAGGUGAAUUAUUUGGAACAGGGUAGGUGAGAGACAUUUGACAUUUUUAUCCUUCUUGGGGGAAUAAUUUGUCUUUUCCAGACAAGAGCCGACAUUCUCCGAAAGGAAAAAAAACACACUGUCACAUCUAAAGUUAAGGCAUAAGACACCUUUGUCACUUUCAUUUAACACAGAAACCAAAGGCAGCGCCUGAGCCAAUGAGAUAAAGCUUUUGGUUUUGUAAGAGCCAAUCAGCAAUACUCAGAGGACUGGACAGCCAAUUAAUCUAUUCAGUGACAUGAACAAUGGAGGAAUGUCCGGCAGAAAUUCUCUGUAAGCACGCAGUAGCCAGCCCUUUCUCUGCCUCGUGUGCUUGUGAUCCAAUAUUGUAUGGAAAUCUUGAGGAUGAAAGAUGCUCCAUAUUAUGAGUCUAAAACCACAUCAACGGACAGUCCACAGUUAUAUUAUUCUACAUUCAUAUCACUAGCAUUGUGCAUCAGUCUCCCCUGAUUGCGCCGUGGGUGUCUGAGCACUGUUUUUUAACAUGCUUUUUAUUGGAUAACAAAAACAAAACACCUGCUGUGAUGGGCCA